UACAUCCUUGUAACCGCGCACCCAAACGACCCGCUUCCCUGAACUCCUUGCCGCCGUCUAAAUCUGCCCAAACCAUGGCCGCCACCUCCGCCGACGCGGCCUCGGCGGUUCCGCCUUCCGUUGUAUCCGCCGCCGAGGAUACGCUCGCGGCCGCCGAGUCCGUCGGGGACCACCUAUCCCAGCUGCUCGCUGCGGCGGAGGACCCCGACGCCGUCGCCGAGCUCCCGCCCCUGCUUCGGGCGCGCGCCUUCCUAGCCGUGGCGCAGGCCGCCACCUCCCUAUUAGCGGUGCGGCUAAGGUGUUCGGGAAUUGACCCCGACGAGCACCCCAUCAGAAAAGAGUUUGAGAGGUUAAGCCUGUGGCAAGAGAAGUUAGAUCGAUUUGAGGAUUGGGACAAGGCGCCACUUCGCCCUACUACUACACUGAAUACACAAGCAGCAGCAAGGUUCAUUGGACACUCACUUUCCCAUCUGACAUCUGAUCAGAAGAGAAGCAUGCAGGCAAUCAGUAGAGGAGAAAGAAGGGGCUGGUCUGGGCAGAAGAGAAAGCCUGAGCCUUUCCCUGAAAAGAAGUCUGUUCGUGCUGCUGCGGAAGAGUUCCUUGCAAAGGCUGCUCAGGAACUUAUUGGGAAUAGUGAUAACAGGGUGAAGGGUCCUGUUAUACUCAUUUCUGAUGAAGAUGAGGACUAGAUCACCUGGGAUUGCGGAUUGUAGCUUUAAGAAUCACAAGAUGAAAGAAAAGGAAAAAUGAAUAUUAACCAGGUGACAUGGAUGUGCCUGAUUCAUCAGCUAUGCAAAGCAAGGUAGAAGUUCUGGAUGAUGAAGAUAACCCUAGAGUGCUGUUUUGUUGUACAUGGAACAUGCAAUGGAGCAAAGGCUUGCUUCCUCUGUUUUGGGAGCAAUCGACCUCAAAUCUUGUAUCUGAGUUCCUGUCUGGAAAGAAUAUUUUGACUAUCUAUUUGUUAGAGGAGUUGGAGUAAUUAUAUGGUUUGUGCUCUGCAGGCCUGCAGCACCCCUAAUAAUGAGUAUUGUCAUAUAUUUGAAUGUCAUUUACAAUCUGUGGAAGAUUUGUGACCUCCAGCAAUUUUGGGGUACUCAGCCUGUGUAAGACAUAAUCAAUGUAUUCAUACUGAUGGAUGAACAUCUUUUGCAGACUUUUCAUGUGGCAAUUGAGAACUGGUGUGCCUGCA